AUACCUCACGUGCAGUUUCCUGUCCAACUAAACCUGAUGCAGUUUGAUGAGCGACGCCUUCAUCAUCUAAACCAAGUCCUUUCACAUGGCUGUGCGCAGCUAUUCUUUGUGUCUUGGUUGUACUCUUCACUUCUUCGAUCAUCAUCUUGAAAUAUUUAUGUGUUCAAUUAUCGAAAACAAUGUUAUUUUUACAGAAUUUUCUAAACUUUUCUCCAAAAUUUCACUGCCGUCUGUAACUCCUGUUGUCUCCCGCGCGUACUACGAUCGCUGGCUC